rnacentral:rRNA from 1 species
GAGAUACUACUGGGGUAGGAGGCGGGAGAGUGCCGACGGUAUUCCCGGGGUAGGGGUGAAAUCCUAUAAUCCCGGGAGGACCACCAGUGGCGAAGGCUGUCGGCUAGAACGCGCUCGACGGUGAGGGACGAAAGCUGGGGGAGCGAACCGGAUUAGAUACCCGGGUAGUCCCAGCUGUAAACGAUGCGGGCUAGGUGUUGAAGUGGCUACGAGCCACUUCAGUGCCGCAGGGAAGCCAUUAAGCCCGCCGCCUGGGGAGUACGGCCGCAAGGCUGAAACUCAAAGGAAUUGGCGGGGGAGCACCACAAGGCGUGAAGCUUGCGGUUCAAUUGGAGUCAACGCCGGGAACCUUACCGGGGGCGACAGCAGGAUGAAAGCCAGAUUGAAGGUCUUGCUGGACAAGCUGAGAGGAGGUGCAUGGCCGUCGCCAGUUCGUGCCG